AAGGACUGGGCAAGACCGGUGCCAGCCGCCGCGGUAAUACCGGCAGUCCAAGUGAUGGCCGAUAUUAUUGGGCUAAAGCGUCCGUAGCUGCUGUGUAAGUCCAUUGGGAAAUCGACCAGCUCAACUGGUCGCCGUCCGGUGGAAACUGCACAGCUUGGGGCCGAGAGACUCGACGGGUACGUCCGGGGUAGGAGUGAAAUCCUGUAAUCCUGGACGGACCACCAAUGGCGAAAGCACGUCGAGAGACCGGACCCGACGGUGAGGGACGAAAGCCAGGGUCUCGAACCGGAUUAGAUACCCGGGUAGUCCUGGCUGUAAACAAUGCUCGCUAGGUAUGUCACGCGCCAUGAGCACGUGAUGUGCCGUAGUGAAGACGAUAAGCGAGCCGCCUGGGAAGUACGUCCGCAAGGAUGAAACUUAAAGGAAUUGGCGGGGGAGCACCACAACCGGAGGAGCCUGCGGUUUAAUUGGACUCAACGCCGGACAUCUCACCGGUCCCGACAGUAGUAAUGACGGUCAGGUUGACGACUUUACCCGACGCUACUGAGAGGAGGUGCAUGGCCGCCGUCAGCUCGUACCGUGAGGCGUCCUGUUAAGUCAGGCAACGAGCGAGACCCGCAUCCGUAGUUGCCAGCAAUACCCCUGAGGUAGUUGGGUACACUACGGAGACUGCCGCUGCUAAAGCGGAGGAAGGAACGGGCAACGGUAGGUCAGUAUGCCCCGAAUGGACCGGGCAACACGCGGGCUACAAUGGCUCUGACAAAGGGAUGCGACGCCGAGAGGCGGAGCUAAUCUCGAAACGGAGUCGUAGUUCGGAUUGCGGGCUGAAACUCGCCCGCAUGAAGCUGGAUUCGGUAGUAAUCGCGUGUCAGAAGCGCGCGGUGAAUUCGUCCCUGCUCCUUGCACACACCGCCCGUCAAAGCACCCGAGUGAGGUCCGGAUGAGGCCAGCAUGCGCUGGUCGAAUC
rnacentral:rRNA from 1 species